rnacentral:miRNA from 1 species
GGGCCUGGUCAUGGUCAAGCCGGGUUCCGUCCAGGCGUGCCCCAAGGUGGAGGCCCAGGUGAGGGCUCCAGGUGACAGUGGGCAGG